GUGCCAGCAGCCGCGGUAAGACAGAGGUGGCAAGCGUUGUUCGGAAUCACUGGGCUUAAAGGGCGCGUAGGUGGUAGUGCAAGUCUGAGGUGGAAUCCCAUGGCUUAACCAUGGAACUGCCCUGGAAACUGCAUUACUUGAGUCAGUGAGGGGAGGGUAGAAUUCCUGGUGUAGCGGUGAAAUGCGUAGAUAUCAGGAGGAAGGCCGGUGGCGAAGGCGGCCCUCUGGCGCUGAACUGACACUGAGGCGCGAAAGCGUGGGGAGCAAACAGGAUUAGAUACCCCGGUAGUCC
rnacentral:rRNA from 1 species